AUUGAACGCUGGCGGCAGGCCUAACACAUGCAAGUCGAGCGAGUGGCGGACGGGUGAGUAAUGUCUGGGAUACCGCCUGAUGGAGGGGGAUAACUACUGGAAACGGUAGCUAAUACCGCAUACCAUCAGAUGUGCCCAGAUGGGCUUAGCUUGUUGGUGGGGUAACGGCUCACCAAGGCGACGAUCCCUAGCUGGUCUGAGAGGAGGACCAGCCACACUGGCACUGAGACACGGUCCAGAGUCCUACGGGAGGCAGCAUUGGGGAAUAUUGCUCAAUGUGCGCAAGCCUGAUGCAGCCAUGCCGCGUGUAUGAAGAAGGCCUUCGGGUUGUAAAGUACUUUCAGCGGGGAGGCGUUACCCGCAGAAGAAGCACCGGCUAACUCCGUGCCAGCAGCCGCGGUAAUAC
rnacentral:rRNA from 1 species